CGAAGGGGCGAGCGUUGUUCGGAUUACUGGGCGUAAAGGGCGCGCAGGCGGCUUUUCAAGUCAGGCGUGAAAGCCCCGGGCUUAACCUGGGAACUGCGUCUGGGACUGAAGGGCUAGAGUUCGGGAGAGGAGAGUGGAAUUCCCAGUGUAGAGGUGAAAUUCGUAGAUAUUGGGAAGAACACCGGUGGCGAAGGCGGCUCUCUGGACCGAGACUGACGCUGAGGCGCGAAAGCGUGGGGAGCAAACAGGAUUAGAUACCCUGGUAGUCCACGCUGUAAACGAUGUGUGCUAGACGUUGGGGAGCCUAGCUCUUCGGUGUCGCAGCUAACGCUUUAAGCACACCGCCUGGGGAGUACGGCCGCAAGGUUA
rnacentral:rRNA from 1 species